UCCCAGCUUGGCCAGACCCCCGACACCCAGGAAUGUCAGGAUGCCCUCUCGGGGACCGCAGCGGGCAGCACCCAGGCACGGAGCUGUGGGCCUCGGCACAAACCAGACAGCUGGACCCUCCCCUUGAGGGCAGUUUUGGAGAAAAUCAGCAUGUUUUCUAGGGAAAAAAACGCGGGGAUAUUGUGGAGAACUCAAUAUACUUUGCGAAAUUUUCAAGCUAAAGGAAAGGUCUCAUUUUUUUGGCCUUGGCGUGGCCUGGAAUCCUGGAAGACCCAACUGUCUGUCCUAGGCAAGCAAACCACAGCGAGGCGCAGGGAAAACAGCAAAGAAGGACACAGCGAUGCCUCACUGAGAACUCGGAGCUGCCCUCCGGACCGAGGCUCCCCUCUACCCAGCCCAGCCUCCACCCCCAGCCCAGCCUCGGGACCCGGGGCUCUGUCACCCAGAACACAGCUGGCUGACUGUGCCCUCUCAGGGACCCUGCUCUCAGGAGCGGGCCUUCCCCAAGCUAAGCCCAGAACAAGCAUCCCAACGCCGGCUCACCCACCAAGGGGAGUCCAUGGGAACAGGACCCAGACCCUCAGACCCAGGGAGGGGCUGGGGGUGGGCUUCCAGGCACCCUUCCAUCCGUCGAUUUAACCAGCCUUCAUCGGCUCAGCCUAAAGAUUAGGAGACGCGCUCCUCAGAGCUUCCAGCCUGCGGGGUAGUCAGACCCAGACACCAAUAAGGAUGGUACCACCAGAUAAGGGACCGAGGAGCCCUGGAGAGACAGGAUAGCAUAGCCACUAAGAGGUCAGACUCUGAGCCAAUAGGGGUUCAAUAUGGAUGCGGCCAUGCACCUGCGAUGUGCCCUCGGGCGAGUUCCUCAACCUCCAUGUGCCUUUGUUUCCUCAUCUUUCCAAUGACAGAGUAACAGCUGCUUGUCAGGAUUCAACAGGGGUGUGUAACUCACUCAGGCUGGUGCCUGUUAGAGCAAAUGCUGUAUGAGUGAUCGCUCUUAGUAACCGAGAAAGUUACCAUUGUGGUGGCGUCACAAUUUGGGGGGGCGGGGGCAGGCAUGAGGGAGGAGAGUGUUCCAGAAGAGGGGACGGCAAAGCAAAGAGAAGCAGAGGUAAGAAGGAAGGAUGGUAAGACAGGUCUGGGGUGUGGAGAGCGGCCCCCUUAGCGAGACCCAGCAAAGUCCUGAGAGCCUGAUCUGGCCUGACUCAGACCCGGGGCUCAAUCCCCUGUACCCAGGCCACCACUGCCAUGAAGCCUGGGAGUAGUCCCCCUCCCUGCAGGUGGCUGCACAUCGGGUCUGGGAAGCAGGUCUCAUGCCUCUGGGACCCACGCUGGCAUCCUAUUAGAGUCUCUCCCAGGGCCAAGGCUCCCUGCUCCCCAAUCCUUGUCUCUGGCCACCUGGCCACAGAGGCUAGGGCCUCCCACCUUGGCUUAUGCUGGGUCCUCUGCCAGGAAUGCUUCCCCCCCAUGCCCUCCCCUGCCCCCCCCCAGCCACCAAGCCUCCACUUGGCCAGGGGUCCCCUGGUCCCCAUACCUCACCACCUUUGUUUCUUUACUCCCUCUGUCGCUGGGGCUGCUCUCACCCCCGCCACAGGACCACCUGGUCCAGUUCUGGCCACUCGCUUUACCUAUGAGGAGACUGGUUCAGAGGAGGCAAAGGAUCCUACUCAAGGAUAUACUGCAAGUUGGGACAGAAAAGCUUUCAGGAAAUAACUACGCCAACUGUCAGCAGCAAGGGACAUCAGCGGAGUAGAGAAAUCUGCCAGGAACCUAUUUCUCUAUAGACACGCCAAAAAUUGUCAGAAUCAACUUUACUGGAACUCUAGAAAACAUGCAAAGGUUUGUAGUAACCAUCCGAACAUGUAAUGAAGAGACAGGUGACGGGAGUCCAGCAGAGAGCAUUGUCGUACUCCAGCCCACCUGUCUCCUCCCACCUCCCACCUUGAGGACGGCAGCCUGAAUCCCUGGUGUGAGUUACUGGGGUCAGAGGGAGCAGAACAGGCCUUGUUAUCAAAGAAUUGUGGUUGUUUUAUCCUCUCCAGGGGCUCCCUGAAGGACUUAUGCAAAGGGGAGUUCCUAUUGUGACUCAGCAACAACGAAACUGACUAGUAUCCAUGAGCAUGUGGGUUCGAUCCCUGGCCUCGCUCAGGGGCUUAAGAUCCAGCAUUGCUGUGAACUGUGGUGUAGGUCACAGACGCAGCUCAGAUCCCACAUUGCUGUGGUAUAGACCAGUAGCUAUAGCUCCAGUGGGACCUCUAGCCUGAGAACUCCCAUGUGCCAUGGUGCAGCCCUAAAAAAUAAAGAAAUAAUGCAAAGGGCUUGUCUAUAUUCCCUAACUAGGAGCUCUCCCAGGGAGAAGUAGCUAUGGAGGGCAUUGGUCAAAAACACCCAAAGGCAUGUUGCUGCCUGCGGAAAAAGUACCAGUUGGAGAAAACUGUAGAUACUCCAAAAAGCCUGCAGGAAAAGUAGGGGAAUGAGAUGCUUUGGGGGAAAAGGGCUUUGAAAAGUCCUGCACAUGCUGGCGAAUCUAGAAAUGUUGGACGAAUGUUCAGAAAGGCACAAGAAGACCCUAAGCACUCACUUUGACGGAUUUCAAGCUCCGGGUGGGCAGGAAGCGAAGGCUAAUGCAGAGCCACACAUGGCCGGAUGAGCAGCGACGUCAUGCCUUAACUCAUAUGCACAGAGUCCAAU
ensembl:lncRNA